UUUUUCCGCAAUGGGCGAAAGCCUGACGGAGCAAUACCGCGUGAGGGAGGAAGGCUCUUGGGUUGUAAACCUCUUUUCUCAGGGAAGAAAAAAAUGACGGUACCUGAGGAAUAAGCAUCGGCUAACUCCGUGCCAGCAGCCGCGGUAAUACGGAGGAUGCAAGCGUUAUCCGGAAUGAUUGGGCGUAAAGGGUCCGCAGGUGGCAUUGUAAGUCUGCUGUUAAAGAGUUUGGCUCAACCAAAUCAAAGCAGUGGAAACUACAAAGCUAGAGUAUGGUCGGGGCAGAGGGAAUUCCUGGUGUAGCGGUGAAAUGCGUAGAUAUCAGGAAGAAC
rnacentral:rRNA from 1 species